CUUGGUAUAUCUACCUUGCUAUUACCCCUCUGGACUUGGAAUCCCAUCUCCGUCACAACAUUCUCAAUCUUGUCGAAUAAAUCUUUUGGUGAAUGUGUUGAUGUGAACCUUAUCUUUCUUUGAGACGCAUCCUGCAAUAAUCCAUCAAUUAGCACCAGGCAGCUUAGGAUAGGUUCAUUCGGAAAAUUGUUGUAAGAUUGUAAGUUACACUACACAUAGUCUUGUUCUGAUAAAUAACUGAAAAUCAAGAUAAUUGUCAUCAUCGUCGUCAUAUGGAACAACAGGAGUGUAAUCCUUCUGAAACCACUCAUGCUCUUUGAUCCCUGCUAUGUUGAUCCUCUUCAUCGGGUUCGGUUCAAGAAUCCUUCGAAGAAGAUCCCGUGCACUAGGUGAAAGCCACUUUGGGAUUUGAAUGCUUUAUCUUGCAACCAACCUUCUGGUACAGGACAACAAGAUUUCGGUCAUCAAAGGGAAGGUAUCCGACGAGCAUUACAUAGAGAAUUACUCCACAAGACCAGAUAUCUGACAAUGAGCCAUCGUAACCUCGUUAUCAGUUAUUACCUCAGGAGCAAUAUAAUUGGGGCUGCCACAUGUUGUGUGCAGCAAUCCAUCAUUCUGAAAAUGUUGAGGCAAAGCACUUAGGCCAAAGUCAGAGAUCUUGAUAUUGCCUCUUCGAUCCACAAGAACAUUUUCGGGCUGUAAGAGUCUCUGUGGUAGACACCUUUAUCAUGGCAAUAGCUCACAGCAUCGAUUAACUGCUGGAAAAGUCUCCUUCCUUCAUGUUCAGAGAGCUUGCAUAUCUUACAAUCUUGUCAAAGAGCUCGCCUCCAUUGACAUAUUCAAGCACCAUGUAAAUCUUAAGUAGUGGAGACGUUACCUCGUGCAGGCGGACGACGUUGGGGUGCUUGAGCAGCUUGAGCGUCCCAAUCUCCCUCCUUAUCUGAUCGUCGAAGCGGAGGGAGAGGAUCUUGUUGCGGUCGAGGAUCUUGAUGGCGAAGUGGGCGCCGGUGGCGAGGUGGCGCGCGUACUUGACCUUGCCGAAGUUGCCCUCCCCGAGCGUGCGCCCGAUCUCAUACCUCCCCAGCAGCGACGCCCGCGUGCACUCCGCCUCCGCCUCUCCGUUCACCAUUCACGAGCUCCUCCCCGCCCGCCGCACCCAACAAACGCCCGCCGCGCCGGCAAGAA
rnacentral:sRNA from 1 species